AUGCUCUGGUUUCUUUUUACAAUGAAUAAAUCUUUUGCUUUUUACUAAGGAUUUUUGUGGGUAGGAACAGCUGGGCCUCCUUGUCAAAAAAUAGUUUGAGUUCCUUUGAUUUGGAAA